rnacentral:rRNA from 1 species
GACGAACGCUGGCGGCGUGCUUAACACAUGCAAGUCGAACGGUGAAGCGCCUUCCUUUUUGGUGGGUGUGGAUGAGUGGCGAACGGGUGAGUAACACGUGAGUAACCUGCCCCCUUCUUCUGGAUAACCGCAUGAAAGUGUGGCUAAUACGGGAUAUUCUGGGUCUGUCGCAUGAUGGGUCUGGGAAAGAUAUUGUUUCGGUGGGGGAUGGGUUCGCGGCCUAUCAGCUUGUUGGUGGGGUGAUGGCCUACCAAGGCGGUGACGGGUAGCCGGCCUGGGAGGGUGGACGGUCACACGGGGACUGAGACACGGACCAGACUCCUACGGGAGGCAGCAGUGGGGAAUAUUGCACAAUGGGCGCAAGCCUGAUGCAGCGACGCCGCGUGAGGGAUGGAGGCCUUCGGGUUGUGAACCUCUUUCGCCAGUGAAGCAGGCCUGCCUCGUUUGUGGGUGGGUUGACGGUAGCUGGAUAAGAAGCGCCGGCUAACUACGUG